rnacentral:rRNA from 1 species
AGAGUUUGAUCAUGGCUCAGAACGAACGCUGGCGGCGUGCUUAACACAUGCAAGUCGCGUGCGCAGUCCGUAGCAAUACGGAUGGGCGCACGGCGCACGGGUGCGUAACACGUGGGCAAUCUGCCCUCUGAUGGGGAAUAACCCGCCGAAAGGCGGGCUAAUUCCGCAUAAGAUUCCCGGGACUUCGGUUCUGGGAUUGAAAGCAGUAAUGCGUCGGAGGAGGAGCCCGCGCCCGAUUAGCUAGUUGGUGAGGUAACGGCUCACCAAGGCAAUGAUCGGUAGCUGGUCUGAGAGGAUGAUCAGCCACACUGGAACUGAGACACGGUCCAGACUCCUACGGGAGGCAGCAGUGGGGAAUCUUGCACAAUGGGCGAAAGCCUGAUGCAGCGACGCCGCGUGGGGGAUGAAGCAUUUCGGUGUGUAAACCCCUUUCGACUGGGAAGAAUACCUCGCAAGAGGGGUGACGGUACCAGUAGAAGAAGCCCCGGCUAACUACGUGCCAGCAGCCGCGGUAAGACGUAGGGGGCCAGCGUUGUUCGGAAUUACUGGGUGUAAAGGGUUCGUAGGCGGUGCGGCAAGUUGGGAGUGAAAAUCUCUGGGCUUAACCCAGAGGCUGCUUCCAAAACUGCUGUGCUCGAGUGUGGGAGAGGCGCGUGGAAUUGCAGGUGUAGCGGUGAAAUGCGUAGAUAUCUGCAGGAACACCCGUGGCGAAAGCGGCGCGCUGGACCACUACUGACGCUGAGGAACGAAAGCUAGGGGAGCAAACAGGAUUAGAUACCCCGGUAGUCC